GCCCUGCCUCUCUGGCGAGUCCCGCCCUCCCGGCUCCCGCGCCCGGUCCCGGCUUCUCCCGCCCGGCAGCUGGGCCGUUCGGCGCGGGGCGGGGCGUCGGGGCGUCUCCGCAGCGGUCAGACCGGCCUGGGGACUUCGGGACAAUGAGCCUUUCUGUCUGAAAGCCGGGACCCAGCGCCGCAAAGAGACUUCCCUGCGGCUGCGGGAGAGACCUGCAGAAACUCGUGCGAGCCCAGCGGGCGGGCGCCCUGGGCUUCGGGGGAGCGGCCGCCGCGUGACCGGGACUCCCCUGCGCCUCCGUCCCAGCCGCCGCCAGCACCUGCCCUGGGAAGUGUCCGUUGCGGACACUGUAGGGGCCUUCAGUGGGAGCUGUCGCCGCCUGCACCCGCGCCGCUGCGGUUCGCGGGAAGCCCCUGUGGCUUUUCGGAAGCACAACGCAGAACGUCCGGAUAUAAGAGUUGGCCAACUGUCCCACUGCUCUUUUCAAAAGGAAGAAGACAUUCACUAUUUACCCCCAGAAGAUCUGGACUGGGGAAGGGAAGAGAAUGACGAAUGGCUUAUGAGUAGAUGCUGUAAGUCACUUACGUGGCUAACUCCGGCAGCAUUUUGCUCAGGCAUUUCCUAAAUCUUGCAGCCGGCAUCCAUCUUUCCCAGCAUCAUGAGAGGCAGCAGUCAGGAGCACGGACGAUGGAGUCUGCACACCUUGGUUUGGAUUCAGGUGCCUCCUUCUACGAGCUCGGUGGCCGUGGGCAAGUAACUUUCCCUUGUUGAGCCUCAGUUUCCGCAUCUCAAGGAAAUCUACAACGUUACAGACUCCACGGCAAGGCCGCUCUGAAGAUUAUGAGUUAACAUCUGUCAAGUGCCAAGAGAGUGCCUGGCUCAUACGAAUACUGUAUCAUGUUUCUUAAGAAACAAAAAGAACUUAUUGUUUGUGGAUUUUGUUUUUCACAAAGGCACAUUAUGCGAUCAUGGAAUUUGCUGUUUUCAUUCAACAUGUGUAUUGAGAUCUAUUCACUGUUCUACACACAGGUCUAGUUCUUCCUUGUAACUGCUCCAUAGCAUUACAUGGUGGAAGUAUAUUUAUUUGGCCAUUUGACUACAAAUGCUCAUUUAGGUUGUUUCUAAUUUUUUGUUAGAGAAUCAGUAUUUGAUAAUACUCUCAUAUAUUAAGUCAAGUUUUUUCAAUUGUAAAUAUGCAUUACUAAGGCUUAUUUUAAAAAUGCUUAGCUAUGUAAAGUCACAGAUCUAAUUUUAUAUUUAGUCAUAAAUAAAUGUUUUAAAAUUGUGUAUGAGAAAGAACA
rnacentral:lncRNA from 13 species